UACGGAGGGUGCGAGCGUUAUCCGGAAUUACUAGGUUUAAAGGGUGCGUAGGCGGCCAGGUAAGUCAGGAGUGAAAGUUUGCGGCUCAACCGUAAAAUUGCUUUUGAUACUGCCAGGCUAGAAUUAGGAUGAGGUCAGCGGAAUGUGGCAUGUAGCGGUGAAAUGCAUAGAUAUGCCAUAGAACACCAAUUGCGAAGGCAGCUGGCUAGACCUGGAUUGACGCUGAGGCACGAAAGCGUGGGGAGCGAACAGG
rnacentral:rRNA from 1 species